ACGGGUGAGUAAUGCUUAGGAAUCUGCCUAUUAGUGGGGGACAACAUUCCGAAAGGAAUGCUAAUACCGCAUACGCCCUACGGGGGAAAGCAGGGGAUCUUCGGACCUUGCGCUAAUAGAUGAGCCUAAGUCAGAUUAGCUAGUUGGUGGGGUAAAGGCCUACCAAGGCGACGAUCUGUAGCGGAUCUGAGAGGAUGAUCCGCCACACUGGGACUGAGACACGGCCCAGACUCCUACGGGAGGCAGCAGUGGGGAAUAUUGGACAAUGGGCGAAAGCCUGAUCCAGCCAUGCCGCGUGUGUGAAGAAGGCCUUUUGGUUGUAAAGCACUUUAAGCGAGGAGGAGGCUACUGAGAUUAAUACUCUUGGAUAGUGGACGUUACUCGCAGAAUAAGCACCGGCUAACUCUGUGCCAGCAGCCGCGGUAAUACAGAGGGUGCGAGCGUUAAUCGGAUUUACUGGGCGUAAAGCGUGCGUAGGCGGCUUUUUAAGUCGGAUGUGAAAUCCCUGAGCUUAACUUAGGAAUUGCAUUCGAUACUGGGAAGCUAGAGUAUGGGAGAGGAUGGUAGAAUUCCAGGUGUAGCGGUG
rnacentral:rRNA from 1 species